GAGGAAGGUGCUGUGACUAAAUGAAGGAAGGCUGAGGGGUUAAAAUCAUUGCUGGGUGAUUUCACCACUACUGCCCCAUAUUCAUACUCUCGGUAAAUGAAUGAGGAGAGCCCCAUGUGGGAUUACAAACUUGCUGGAAAUGGAUGAGAAACCUUCUGCUCUGCUGGAGUUUAUCUUGAGUGUGCCUUAAAAUUCCAUUUCAUGGAGAACUGUGCGUGGUUGAAUUUUGAUUGAUUACUCAAUUAACUGAUGUAUUGGUAGAGUGAUUAAGAAAGAAGACUUUGGGAUCAGACCAACCUGGUUUUGAAUUCAAGCUCAGCAACUUACUAGGUAAGGAGGAGAAAAGAAAGAAGGAAAAAUUGGAAAGAUAAAUGGGGUCUUUCCAGUGAAGGCUCAAUUUUCCUACAUAAUUAAGAGUUUGGAAUUCGGGCAAUAUCAAGAACCACAUCUGUCCUGAAAUCAAUUAUCUCUGUUUGAAACACAAGAAAUAAGAAGACCAUUUUGAGAAGAACAGAGAGUAGCCUUAAGAAAAUCCCUGUCGCAAGCACUCUGGGAUUUGGACUCAAAUGCUAAUUAUACAGAACCACUUGGGUGCCCAGCUGCUGUCCAUUCUCUACACUUAUCCCACCUGAUGGAAGGCUGUUAAGAAAAACAUCACUGCAAUGCCUAAUAAACAGACAUGGGUCCCAGACCCAAUAAGAGUGAAACCAUCCCCCUAUUUAAAUGAAAUUAUGGCUGAUGAGAAAGACAAAUUAAUUUCUCUGUCCCUAGUAUUACACAAAACUUUGGAUGCUGCCAUUGUUACAAUUUUAUUUUCCCCAGGAGCUCAGAGUCCCACCUUCAUUCUUUUUGUUUAAUGCUUAAGCUUGCCUGUCCACCUAUGGAAGACUAGAAUGAGCAAAGACCAUGUAUUCAAUGAUCUGUAAAUCUAACAGGAAACAAUAUAAUAAAUAUAUUGUGUUUGCUAACCAAAUCUGUGAAUGAUUAGAUCGACUGGUUAAUGAUUAGAUGGAUUAACACAUCAUUUCUAUUUUCUCUCUCCUCCCCUACUUCUUGUUUUAAUGAUACCUUCCAAGUUUUAUUUCUCCAAGCCUAACCCCUUACAUAAUACAAGAGGACAACAGUUUGCAAAAUAAAUAUCUGUUGGCCCUAACUGGUAAAUACUGAAAUAGAUUUCAAGUAAUGUGAGUGUUUUUGAAACCACCUAAAUCUGUAAGCCACCCUGCAAGGAACAAGGGUAGCAAAGUGAAUAAGCCAGACAUGUAAAAAUAAAGAUGACAAAAUGGAAGGCAAUUAAUGCCUGUAAUGGAGGUGGGGAAGGGGGGAAUGACAAGUUAAUAAGAAAUUUAUUUUUAAAUGCUAUCAUCUGCCAUAAAAUAUCCAUGCUUAUUUUAGAAAAUAUGUAAAAUGUUUAAGAAUUAAACAUCUUUAAAAAAAUCACAUGAACUCAUCACCCUGCAACAAAACACACACAGAUGAGUGCACACACUUAAACACACAUUAAUUUUCAAUUAGUAUAUAAAGUUAAUAUCCUGCUAAGUACAAGAUACUAUAUCAUGAGCACUUUGUCUC
rnacentral:lncRNA from 1 species